UAACAUUUAAAAGGAAAAAUAAAAACAAUAUUACUAAAUAUUUUUUGUCUCAAUAAACAAAAAAUAAAAUUGAUGCCAAACAAACUUUUAGUAGCAAGAUUUAUGAAACCAAGGUUGCCCACUUAUUAAUAAUCAUAUGUUUCUUCCAUUAUUUUCAUUACUUGCUACAUUGAACGAUGACAGAUUUGCCCCCCUUCUUUUGUUCUUCAAUUGUUUUUUGCUUCCUGGCGAGGAUGUAUGCAUGCUUGGCAUUUGUGGUAUAGCAGGGAGUGAUACUAACCAGCCACCAAUACCAGACAGGAUAGCUCCAAUUGGAACGCAAAAAUUUGUGUUCUGGUGGGCACAGGCCUAACCAAUCCUCAGUCGGUGGGACCAUAAUAUCUAUCACCUGCCCUCAGUUUUUUUUUCUUGAGAAACCUGCCCUCAGUUACUGUUUUGCUUGUUUUGUGAUGACAUGUAAUCACAUGAUCCAAUUUUGAGUAUAAAUUUUUCAUCCGCAGGGAGAGGAUUUUCUGGUGAAAUGGGCUAAAAAUUCAUUGCAGAACAAAGGAUGAUUACUUCUUGUCUACGCAUGCAUCAUUUUGCUUAUAUGAUGUCUUUAAUUGAAACUUCUGUGCCAUUCUUUUUUCUGCUGUUCCUUUAAACCAAUUCUUGUCAUGAGAUAUUAGCUUUAUCUUUGUUAUGUUUACUGCCAUGGGAACCACCAUUAGUAUAUAAAAAGCAAGAGAUCUUCUUUCACACCUGUAAGAGGCAGCACUCAAUCAAAAGUGUACGGAGUAUUGCAUAAUCCAAGAAAGGGUGCUACUUUCUGGGAAUGCUUGCUUGUGGGUGGUGCACCAAAAGAUUGUGGGGCAUGGGAAAAGCCAUCCCCAUCUUUUUAUGGUGGGCAGCAAGCUCGUAUGUCGGAUGCCUUCUGGAUGCAUUAUAACACGCAAGACUUUCAGUAAUGGUUAACCCAUUGGAUGUUGAUACAUGCCUAUACACUAAAGUAGUUAGCAUUAUUCUGUUUAUUUGGCAUCCUCUUAUAUCGACAAGACAUCAGUUGGAUUAACGGGUUCAUUCGCAUACAUGCUGCAAUGGUUGUUGGGUGGACAGGUUAAUAUCAACUUGCUCUGUACUAAUAGACCAAGGUGACAAUUUUGUUUUGUUUUUGGUAUAGCUGGAGUCUUUGAUUUAUAUUCUCUUUCACACUUAUACAAAAUUUCUCAGCAAAUGCUUGACAUGUAAUUAAGAGGUGGCGCAAGGUUGUAUGUUACUAUGUGAAAAACUGUUGAUGCAGUUCCUGCUUACUAGUGGUAAUAUUGUGUUGUACUUCUA